UACAGAGGGUGCGAGCGUUGUUCGGAAUUACUGGGCGUAAAGCGUGCGCAGGCGGUUUGUUAAGUCCGUUGUGAAAGCCCCGAGCUCAACUUGGGAAUUGCAGUGGAUACUGGCAGGCUGGAGUACGGUAGAGGAAGGUGGAAUUCCCGGUGUAGCAGUGAAAUGCGUAGAUAUCGGGAGGAACACCAGUGGCGAAGGCGGCCUUCUGGACCAGUACUGACGCUCAUGCACGAAAGCGUGGGGAGCAAACAGG
rnacentral:rRNA from 1 species